GUCGAGCAUAAUCUCGGGAAACUGAGGCUAAUUCUCGAUAGAUCAAGAUUCCUGGAAUGGGUUUUGGUCGAAAUGGCGUAACAGCAUCUUGUUAUUUUCGCCCGAGGAUGGGACUGCGGCCGAUCAGGCUGUUGGUGGGGUAAAGGCCCACCAAACCAGUAACCGGUACGGGCUUUGAGAGAAGGAGCCCGGAGAUGGACACUGAGACAAGGGUCCAGGUCCUACGGGGCGCAGCAGGCGCGAAACCUUCGCAAUGCGCGCAAGCGCGACGAGGUUAUUCUGAGUGAUUUCCGCUGAGGAAAUCUUUUCUUAGAUCUAAAAAGUCUGGGGAAUAAGGGGAGGGCAAGUCUGGUGUCAGCCGCCGCGGUAAUACCAGCUCCUCGAGUGGUCAGGGCGUUUAUUGGGCCUAAAGCAUCCGUAGCCUGCUUAGUAGGUCUCCUGUUAAAUCCAACGGCUCAACCGUUGGUUUGCAGGAGAUACCGCUGGGCUAGGAGGCGGGAGAGGCGGACGGUACUCCGAGGGUAGGGGUAAAAUCCUUUGAUCCCCGGAAGA
rnacentral:rRNA from 1 species